CAUGUUGUAACUGCUGUCACUGCAAUCAGUUGGUGGUUCAGCCUUGAAACGUGCACUUGGCCUUCUAUAAAGCGCUGUUUUGUUUGCCUUUCAUUGCUAUGAGUCUUGAUAAAUUGGAGAAGAGCCCAAGAGAAAUUUUUCAUCCCUUGAUAUAAAAGGGAUCGGUGAAUUUUAACUUUGGAGUCCUCUAUGCUAAGGAUGCUCAGCUUACAGAUGAUGAAAUGUUCAGUAAUGGGAAAGACUCUCAUAUCCUCGUCGUCGGGCUCGGUGCUGUCCAAGAAGAUACAGAGACUAAAAAAAUCAUAAGAAGCAAAAUAUGACUGCAGGGAAAAGAAGCUGGAGAGAACAGAAGAAAUGGAAUUGGGACGACGCCUCGGCCAGCCCCUCUCUGCCAUCGUCUCCUGAAUCUGCAGCAGAGCAGUUCCAGUCCAUCCGGGCACGUGCAAUCCAGUUUCUGAUGAUCUGAGCACACGGAGCAGCGCUCAGCUGCUGUGGGGGGCUCAGGGAAGGCAGAGUGUGCAUUGUCAUCUUCCUGAACCUACAGACAAAUCAAAGUGAGAAGCCACAGGGUGGAAAUCAGUUGCAUAUAUGCUAAACAAAACUUGCAGGUUGUUUUUAAGAAUUGUUUUUGCUUGUUCUUUGUUGUGCUUCUGUGCUUAGAAAACCUCCCUUUAAAAUCAGUUCAGUUCAUCAGUUGAACCUUUGUUUGCAGACCCUCAGUGAGCAGAAUUUGUUGCAGACUCAGUGCACGCUGUGCCGGCCUCCCGGGAGUGUGAGGAGCUCAUGUGUGCUACUUUUUGCUUUAGGACGCUCUGAGGUAUUUAUUCCUUUUGGGAUACGUGAUGAGAAUUCCCAAGAGAGGUAGUUAUAAGGUAUGACAUUGGGAAAAAGCCUGUGUGGUUGGAAUGUUGUUGCUGUCAAAAGUUAAUUUUUCCUUCAUUCUUAGCCAGUAGUUAGCUUUUUGCUUUAUUUUUGUGGUAUCAGUAUUUUAUUGUUUAAAAAAUUCCUUCAAAAUAACUUCAGUGGUUGCCCACCAGUAUCUUGUUCAGAUUUGCCUAUUUGCUUGUAGCUGAAAUGUUCACAUCUUGUUUAUCAUUCUGUUUAAGAAACUGCUGCCCAGCCAACUAAUAACUGAAUAUCCAUCUGUCUGGGACACGGGGAGAGGAUUUAGGUAAUGUCUUUGUUUCCAGAAAAAAGUUCCAGUGAAGUUUCUAAAUAGAGGAGAAGGGGGUGAAGACUCAGGGCUCUGAUGCCGUUGGGGCACCCCAAGGUCCCCAGGAGAGGGAGCGGUGCAGGAGCAGGUGUGUUCUCAUCUAAUAUUGAACAAAUUAUAAAUAUAAAUAUGAAAAUUAUAAACAUGAAAAUAUUUUUAAAAUACUUAAAUAAAGCGGGUUUUCUUUAUUGGUCAAUAGGCAGGGUUUUGAUUGUAAAAUGUAUAAAUACAAAUAAUAUAAAAGUAGAAAUCUAAGUUUAGAAA